UUGGCGAUGCUCUCAGUUGAG
rnacentral:piRNA from 1 species